ACAAUGAAGAGUUUGAUCCUGGCUCAGGAUGAACGCUAGCUACAGGCUUAACACAUGCAAGUCGAGGGGCAUCAGGAAGAAAGCUUGCUUUCUUUGCUGGCGACCGGCGCACGGGUGAGUAACACGUAUCCAACCUGCCCUUUACUCGGGGAUAGCCUUUCGAAAGAAAGAUUAAUACCCGAUAGCAUAAUGAUUCCGCAUGGUUUCAUUAUUAAAGGAUUCCGGUAAAGGAUGGGGAUGCGUUCCAUUAGGUUGUUGGUGAGGUAACGGCCCACCAAGCCUUCGAUGGAUAGGGGUUCUGAGAGGAAGGUCCCCCACAUUGGAACUGAGACACGGUCCAAACUCCUACGGGAGGCAGCAGUGAGGAAUAUUGGUCAAUGGGCGCUAGCCUGAACCAGCCAAGUAGCGUGAAGGAUGAAGGCUCUAUGGGUCGUAAACUUCUUUUAUAUAAGAAUAAAGUGCAGUAUGUAUACUGUUUUGUAUGUAUUAUAUGAAUAAGGAUCGGCUAACUCCGUGCCAGCAGCCGCGGUAAUACGGAGGAUCCGAGCGUUAUCCGGAUUUAUUGGGUUUAAAGGGAGCGUAGGUGGACUGGUAAGUCAGUUGUGAAAGUUUGCGGCUCAACCGUAAAAUUGCAGUUGAUACUGUCAGUCUUGAGUACAGUAGAGGUGGGCGGAAUUCGUGGUGUAGCGGUGAAAUGCUUAGAUAUCACGAAGAACUCCGAUUGCGAAGGCAGCUCACUGGACUGCAACUGACACUGAUGCUCGAAAGUGUGGGUAUCAAACAGGAUUAGAUACCCUGGUAGUCCACACAGUAAACGAUGAAUACUCGCUGUUUGCGAUAUACAGUAAGCGGCCAAGCGAAAGCAUUAAGUAUUCCACCUGGGGAGUACGCCGGCAACGGUGAAACUCAAAGGAAUUGACGGGGGCCCGCACAAGCGGAGGAACAUGUGGUUUAAUUCGAUGAUACGCGAGGAACCUUACCCGGGCUUAAAUUGCAGUGGAAUGAUGUGGAAACAUGUCAGUGAGCAAUCACCGCUGUGAAGGUGCUGCAUGGUUGUCGUCAGCUCGUGCCGUGAGGUGUCGGCUUAAGUGCCAUAACGAGCGCAACCCUUAUCUUUAGUUACUAACAGGUUAUGCUGAGGACUCUAGAGAGACUGCCGUCGUAAGAUGUGAGGAAGGUGGGGAUGACGUCAAAUCAGCACGGCCCUUACGUCCGGGGCUACACACGUGUUACAAUGGGGGGUACAGAAGGCAGCUAGCGGGUGACCGUAUGCUAAUCCCAAAAGCCUCUCUCAGUUCGGAUCGAAGUCUGCAACCCGACUUCGUGAAGCUGGAUUCGCUAGUAAUCGCGCAUCAGCCACGGCGCGGUGAAUACGUUCCCGGGCCUUGUACACACCGCCCGUCAAGCCAUGGGAGCCGGGGGUACCUGAAGUACGUAACCGCAAGGAUCGUCCUAGGGUAAAACUGGUGACUGGGGCUAAGUCGUAACAAGGUAGCCGUACCGGAAGGUGCGGCUGGAACACCUCCUUU
rnacentral:rRNA from 1 species